rnacentral:SRP_RNA from 1 species
GCUGGGUAGUAGUGCGAGCUUAUAAUCCCUUCUACUGGGGAAGGCUGAAGCUGGUGGAUUGCAUGAGUUUCGGAGUUCUGAAGCUGCAGUAGGGCUAAAACUGAUCAGGUGUCUACACUAUGUCUAGUAUAAAUACGGUGAGCCCCUGGGAGUAGAAAGUCACUAGAUUGCCUAAGGAGGGUCAAACCAGCCUAAGUCAGAAAAACUGAUGGAUGAAGCUUCCAUGUCAAUCAGUAUUGGGACAGGGCUUGUGAGUGGCUGCUCUACUUUCCAGCCUGAGUGAAACAGAAACAUCCCAUCUCC